rnacentral:rRNA from 1 species
CGGACGGGUGAGUAACGCGUGGGGAACCUGCCUCAUACAGGGGAAUAACAGUUAGAAAUGACUGCUAAUGCCGCAUAAGCGCACAGCGUCGCAUGACACGGUGUGAAAAACUCCGGUGGUAUGAGAUGGUCCCGCGUCUGAUUAGGCAGUUGGCGGGGUAACGGCCCACCAAACCGACGAUCAGUAGCCGACCUGAGAGGGUGACCGGCCACAUUGGGACUGAGACACGGCCCAAACUCCUACGGGAGGCAGCAG